AGUUUUAUAGUCAUUAAAUGAUUUUAGAUUGCAAAUCUAAAGGUGAAAUAAGUUUCUAAGGCUU
rnacentral:tRNA from 1 species